UCACAAGCUUUUAGUGUUUAGGGACUCCCCAGGUGAAUGGGCCCUGAGAAUAGGCCAUGGCCAGAUCUGGGUGCCCCUCUGCAGCCCAGGAGACAGGCCCCUGGUCAGAGUCCUGAGCUCCGUUGGAUUCAGACCAGACCCCCUCAGCAAGAACCUACAGUUCAGACUCCAGUGGAUCCAUCCAUAGGGCUGGGGGCUCUGGCCCCACCUGCUUCCCAUUCUGCUUCUCACCUGACUGCAGGGUUGGGGAAUGGUGGAUGGCCCAAA
rnacentral:lncRNA from 1 species